CCUACGGGUGGCAGCAGUGAGGAAUAUUGGUCAAUGGACGCAAGUCUGAACCAGCCAUGCCGCGUGCAGGAAGACGGCUCUAUGAGUUGUAAACUGCUUUUGUACGAGGGUAAACGCAGAUACGUGUAUCUGUCUGAAAGUAUCGUACGAAUAAGGAUCGGCUAACUCCGUGCCAGCAGCCGCGGUAAUACGGAGGAUUCAAGCGUUAUCCGGAUUUAUUGGGUUUAAAGGGUGCGUAGGCGGUCGGAUAAGUUAGAGGUGAAAUCCCGGGGCUCAACUUCGGAAUUGCCCCUGAUACUGGUUGGGUAGAGAAGAGGUGGGGGAGGCGGAAUGGAAGGUGGAGCAGUGAAAUGCUUAGGGAU
rnacentral:rRNA from 1 species